GAAAGGGAUACUAAAGAAGAGCUUAUGAAAGCUUUUCACAUAAUAGACCAGGAUAACAAUGGAAAAAUAUCGGACAAGGAUAUUUUGCGUGUUGCUAAAGAUUUGGGUGAAAACUUUACUCUUGAUGAAAUCAGAGAGAUGAUUGAAGAAGCCGACCGAAAUGCUGAUGGGGAGGUUGAUGCUGAUGAGUUCCUGAGGAUGAUGAAACGAACCAAUUAUGGUUACUAGACCACUCAUGUAGAUCGUUG
rnacentral:misc_RNA from 1 species